UUCUAAAAAAAUAAUCUUUUAAAUUACUGAUCAAAUUCAUUUUGUUAUAUGCAAUAAUGUUGCACCCAAUACCCACUUAACCUACUGAUAAAGAAAAUGUGUUUGAGUGAGGUGGCUCAUACAUGUUAAACCAAAGCUUCAUUUUCAGUUAAUAGAAGCAAUUUAUUAUCUUAGCUUAGAUACAUACAUGCAUCUUCAUUCAGCACGUUCUUAUUCAUGCAUUUAACACUUGUACAAAAACUUCACUCACCUCACAAAAACGUCAACCAAGGAGUAACAAAAACGAGAUUUGAUUGUUGGUGCAAAAUGAUAAAACAGAAUCGAUUCUCCACAAUGACGGAAUCGAUUCUCUGCAGUGAUGAACAUGGGAAUAGAUUAUGCACAUUCAAAUGAAAUAGGAGAAUUUCUCCUUGUGUAUUUUCCAACAAUUUACAUUACAUAAUCAAUUCUUUAAUUUAUAUAAUUGAUUCUCAUCCUGCAUUUUACACGUAUUAAUUUAAAGUUGGAGAAUUUAUCCUUUCACACAUCCCUAUAAUUAAUUUCAUUCCUAGAAUCACAUGAUUGAUUCAAAAGUGUAAAGAAUUGAUUUCAACAUCUCACAAACAACUUCCAAAGCCUCAAUAAUUGAUUUAGUUAAUCUCAUGAUCAAUUCAAACACCAAUAAAAUCAAUUUCACCACUCUCAUAAUCGAUUCUAACAAAAAUAGAAUCGAUUUCACCGCUCUUAUAAUCAAUUAUUCCAUCUUUUUAACACUUCGAUAAUCGAUUCUAACUCCUAUUUCACACAUCCAAAAUUAAUUUCAUGUUUACACCAUUUCAAACCUUUUUUUUCUUUCGUAUCACAAUUUCACGGAACUCCUCCUUCGUAUUUAAUAUCUUUGUAUUUGUUUAUUGUAAUCAAAGAGAAAUACAUCAAUUUCAUUGUGAUUUUUGUAUUUAUUACUAUGAUGAAUGGAAGACAACACUGACAUAAAAAUAAGCC
rnacentral:lncRNA from 1 species